rnacentral:rRNA from 1 species
UACGUAGGGGGCACGCGUUGUCCGGAUUUCUUGGGCGUAAAGAGCGUGUCGGCGUCUUCACAGGUCCGCUGUGAAAACUCGAGGCUCAACCUCGAGCUGUCGGUGGAAACCGUGUGGCUAGAGUCCGGAAGAGGAGAGUGGAAUUCCCGGUGUAGCGGUGAAAUGCGCAGAUAUCAGGAGGAACACCAAUGGCGAAGGCAGCUCACUGGGACGGUAUUGACGCUGAGACGCGAAAGCGUGGGGAGCAAACAGG